rnacentral:rRNA from 1 species
GACGAACGCUGGCGGCGUGCUUAACACAUGCAAGUCGAACGGAAAGGCCCUGCUUUUGUGGGGUGCUCGAGUGGCGAACGGGUGAGUAACACGUGAGUAACCUGCCCUUGACUUUGGGAUAACUUCAGGAAACUGGGGCUCAUACCGGAUAGGAGCUCCUGCUGCAUGGUGGGGGUUGGAAAGUUUCGGCGGUUGGGGAUGGACUGGCGGCUUAUCAGCUUGUUGGUGGGGUAGUGGCUUACCAAGGCUUUGACGGGUAGCCGGCCUGAGAGGGUGACCGGCCACAUUGGGACUGAGAUACGGCCCAGACUCCUACGGGAGGCAGCAGGGGGGAAUAUUGCACAAUGGGCGGAAGCCUGAUGCAGCAACGCCGCGUGCGGGAUGACGGCCUUCGGGUUGUAAACCGCUUUCGCCUGUGACGAAGCGUGAGUGACGGUAAUUGGUAAAGAAGCACCGGCUAACUACGUG